UACGGGGGGGGCAAGCGUUUGUUCGGAAUUACUGGGCGUAAAGGGCUCGCAGGCGCCGACUAAGUCAGACGUGAAAUCCCUUGGCUUAACCAAGGAAUGGCGUCUGAUACUGGACGGCUUGAAUCCGGGAGAGGGAUGUGGAAUUCCAGGUGUAGCGGUGAAAUGCGUAGAUAUCUGGAGGAACACCGGUGGCGAAGGCGGCAUCCUGGACCGGUAUUGACGCUGAGGAGCGAAAGCCAGGGGAGCAAACGGG
rnacentral:rRNA from 1 species